UGCUGGUGUAGGCUGCAGGUGUAGGCUGGAGGGUACAUAGAGGCUCCUGGUGUGUGUACCGGGCGGGGUAGCGUACACGUGUCUUAGCUUGUUUGUUUUCAUCUGUGACGUCAUGAACGCGAGAGCCAAUGAACGGUGAAGGUGUAUGUCGCGUCAUCUCUGAUGUCAUGGACUCGCCAGCCAAUCAACGACGAUUAUGUUGGCGCCAUCUGUGGCGUCAUGUCCCCGCCAACCAAUCAGCGGGGAGAAGGUGCCAGGGCGAACGUUUAUGUUGGACCAUCUUACACGGAAUGAUGAGAACUGCAGCUUCCAUGAGGAUAACUGGGAUGACUUUGGUUGUUCAGGCAACGUGCCGGAAUACCUUCAGACUAUUCCUUCAGUGUCUGAGAGUGUCCCUGAGAAUUUCUUAGAUGCUGCCGUAGAUGAGUCAUCAUCAACAAUGACUUGUUUGCUUCCAGUAUCAUCAACAACCACAAUGACAUCACUGCUUCCAGCAACAUCAACACAUACAAUGACAUCACUGCUUCCAGCAACAUCAACACAUACAAUGACAUCAUUGCUUCCAGCAACAUCAACACAUACAAUGACAUCAUUGGUUCCAACACCACUUCAAGAGCAGUUGUUAGCCAAUAAUAAACCAUGGAUGGGAGACGGGGCUCCUACACUCCAGCUGAUGCCAGAGUCAAGAGAUGUAACCAACACAUCAGCCCCAUUGCACUUUACACUGGUACCAUCAAAGUCAACUAACUAUCAACUAACAGCAACUGGACAUCAGGAAUCUGUGUCCCCAGAGGAGCUAGAGCAGUCACCCCAAGGCUCGGAGGCAGAGACCGUAGGCCUACAGCCACAUACCAACACUGCGAUGAUAGUGACAUCAGUGCCUGUACCAAUGGCAAACCUCCAAACCACUCAUAAUUUACCAGAGAAUGGGACCGUGAUGCUGUGUUCACUACAGCAGCAACAAGGUCAACAUACAUUGAUCCUACCUCAGAUGCAGCCAUCAUCUCACACAACUCAAAUGUUAGAUGUUCCCAUCCUUAGUGACUCUGAAGGGGAAUACGGAUUUACUGUCACCGUUGAAGAAAAGGAACGUACUACAAAAAGUCCAAUGUGGUUGAUGAGUAGAAUCACAAAUAAAUUAUAUACAAACAUUAACAAAUCGGUGCCAUUCGAAAUUCACCUAAAGAAGCCCAUCAACAACAAACAGUUCUGCAUUCGAGCCGUGCCGGUAUUCUCCAGUCCGCAGUUCUUGCGUACAAAUGUUAAUCGUUGCCCCAACCAUGCUGCACCAACAGAUGCAACCAAUCAUGAUUUUCCAUAUCCAGAGCAUGUCAUACGGGCUGACCACCCAGAGGCUCGUUAUAUUAAGGGCACAUCAGGACGUUUGUCUGUUACUGUUCCAUUGGACACUUUGCAAGAUGGGUCAGACUACACUCCUGUCCUUCUAAGAUUUAUGUGUCUUGGAUCCUGUGUGGGCGGUAUUAAUCGAAGACCCAUUGCCGUCAUCCUUACCCUUGAGAAUAGUUUGGGGAAAGAAUGUGGAAGGAAAGUUAUUGAUGUUCGAGUGUGUGCAUGUCCAACUCGAGAUAUCAGAACUGAUGAACAAGGCGUAUUGAACAAAGGAGUUAAGCGAAAAUGUUCUUCUAGCCAAGAAAGAGUACCAAUUGUGGCGAGGAAAAAGCCCAAGACAUUGGACCCCAAAACGGAACCCCACGAUGACGACAAGAAAACAUUUUUCAUUCCAGUUUAUGGAGAGAAGUUGUACAAUUUUCUCAUGGAUAUGAAGGCUGUGUAUUACCGUUCUCAUCCUGAAUAUGCAGCUAAAUACCCUGAUGACGACGUUCUGUUACGCAGAGAGGUGACCACACUGUACCGCCGGGGAGGCUCUUGAGAUGUUCAGCGUGAUCAUAGCGGAGUCUUCCCAGUGGUCCUCUGACGUGUGUACACAAUAUGGGAUAGUAGUAGUAACACAUCCCACCACUGUCGAUGGAUGCUUAGUUUGGAGUCCAGCUAGUCACCAUCUUUUUCCAGUCACUGUUGGGUAGUGGCGGGAUCUGGUGGGAAAUUAACAAAAAAUUCUUUAAUUUUGUAAAGAAACCUACUUAUAAAGAUACCUUUAUAAUAUUAACCCUUAGACUGCGCAAUACAUACAUAUGCGAUUUGACAAAAUAAUUUAACACAAGUUUUUAAAACUUGCACAAACACUUUCCAAUGUUUUUUUGCAUAAUCAACUAGGCAAAUGCUCCAACUUUGUCUAAAUGA
rnacentral:misc_RNA from 1 species